AAAAAGACAAGUUAAAUUUGUUUUUAUCAUUAUUUGGUAAUUGCUGUUUUGUGAUUUGGAAGAAAACCUUAUUGUAAUAGGCAAUUGUUAGAAACUUUCUUUUCAUUUUGCAAAUACUUUAAGGUAUUUAAAUGUGGUAGCAUUAAGUAGAAAUUCCUUUAUUAAACAAAUUAAAAAUAUACUGAUGUUUAUAUUCAGAAACUACUGAAAAGAGAUCUGCAUUAUUUUGAUGAAAUAUCGAUGAAAAAUCAGCUAAUGUACCAACUGCUUGCUAGAUAUCUGCACCUGGAUGUCAUGGAAAUACCUCAAGCUCAACAUAUCCAAAAUCUUUGGGUGAGUGGGAGCAGCCCCUGGAGAGAAGUCCCAACUUCCAUCCAUUGCUCUUCUCAGCCCAGAACUCUCAGAAAGGGUUCCCAGCCUACCAGAAAGAUGAGAUGGAAGUGGAAGUGAAAAAGAGGGCAAUCAAGAAGGAAAAUGUCCUUACUAAGGAAGUUUAACUUUCUUCCUGCCUUGGCUUCUACUGAGAUAAGUGAAGAAGGUAAAAGCGUGUGUGUGGAGCAGACAUCAGGAGGAGGGCGGCUGUCAACGUUGAGACAGAGACUCUGAAUUUGGAAAAGAAACAGCAGGAGGAGGAUGAGAGUAUGCCUUCCCAGUCGAGUUCUCAAGUCAUUCAUCUCUGUGGUCCCUCAAGAAACAGUGUUCAGAUGUUCCAAACAAACA